rnacentral:tRNA from 1 species
GAAAUAUUUAAAUUUGAAUUUCUAAUUCAAAUAAAAUAAUUAAUUUUAUUAUAUUUCU